rnacentral:rRNA from 1 species
GACGAACGCUGGCGGCGUGCCUAAUACAUGCCAGUCGAACGCUGAAGGCGGAGCUUGCUUCUCUGGAUGAGUAGCGAACGGGUGAGUAACGCGUAGGUAACCUACCUGGUAGCGGGGGAUAACUAUUGGAAACGAUAGCUAAUACCGCAUAAGAGUAGAUGUCGCAUGACAUUUGCUUAAAAGGUGCAAUUGCAUCUCUACCAGAUGGACCUGCGUUGUAUUAGCUAGUUGGUGAGGUAACGGGUCACCAAGGCAACGAUACAUAGCCGACCUGAGAGGGUGGUCGGCCACACUGGGACGGUGACACGGCCCAGACGGCUUCGGGAGGCAGCCGUAGGGAAACUUCGGCAAUGGGUGGAAGACUGAGCGAGCUACGCCGCGGGAGUGAAGAAGGUUGUCGGGUCGUAAAGCUCGGUUGUAAGGGAAGAAAGAGUGUGAGAGUGGAAAGUUCACACUGUGACGGUACCUUAACAGAAAGCGACGGCUAACUACGUG